GAUAAACGCUGGCGGCGUGCUUAACACAUGCAAGUCGAACGGAGUAUUCCUUCGGAAGAUCGAAGAGCUUGCUCGGAGAGAUUCUUUGGAAUACUUAGUGGCGGACGGGUGAGUAACGCGUGGGUAACCUGCCUCACACAGGGGGAUAACAGUUGGAAACGACUGUUAAUACCGCAUAAGCGCACAGUACCGCAUGGUACAGUGUGAAAAACUCCGGUGGUGUGAGAUGGACCCGCGUCUGAUUAGCUAGUUGGUGAGGUAACGGCCCACCAAGGCGACGAUCAGUAGCCGGCCUGAGAGGGUGUACGGCCACAUUGGGACUGAGACACGGCCCAAACUCC
rnacentral:rRNA from 1 species